UCAUCCCUGGCUGUGGUUCAGGAAGCAGAGCCUGAGGCAUCUCCACCAUGGCCUGGGCUCCACUCCUCCUCACUCUCCUGGCUCACUGCACAGAGUCUUGGGCUGAGGUUGUGUUCACUCAGCCCCAUUCUGUGUCGGGGUCUCCGGGGCAGACGGUCACCAUCUCCUGCACUCGCAGCAGUGGCAGCAUUGACAGCAGUUACGUGCACUGGUACCAGCAGCUCCCGGGCAAUGCCAUCACCACUGUGAUCUAUGAGGAUAAGCAAAGACCCUCUGGGGUCCCUGAUCGGUUCUCUGGCUCCAUCGACAGCUCCUCCAACUCUGCCUCCCUCACCAUCUCUGGGCUGCAGCCUGAGGACGAGGCUGACUACUACUGUCUGUCUUAUGGUGACAGCAGCAAUUACCACACAGUGCUCCAGCCCCAUGGGGAAACAGAGGAGCAGCUGAUAUGGAGAUCACAGAAGAAGCAGAAGCUCAGGAUUCCCAGGACAGAGAAGUGA